GCUGGAUUGCUAAGUCGGUAGAGCACGAGGCUCGUGAUCUCAGGGCCGUGGGUUCAAGUCCCGCGUGAGGCA